rnacentral:lncRNA from 1 species
AACUUGUACAUUUCUCUCUUCAAGAGAAGGUAAGAAGGAAAAUAUUUUACAUAACAUUCCAAACAGAUACACUUUAAGCAGAGUAGUAAGGGGAAAGCGGGUUACUGGCAGUGAGUAGUAAUGAAGUGAGUUUUGCCUUUUUUAAAAAUAGAGUUAAGAAACACAGAGAUAUAAAGCUACUUUAGACAAGAUUUUUUCAAAUAUCCAUGCUCUGACAGUGAACCUAAUUCCCCUCACUGGAGAAUUUAAUUUUAUUUAACCUGGCAUUAGAGAACUGCAGAAGCUCUUUACCAUAAAUGUUAAGAAAAACUGUAGUCUACACAGAGUACUCAUUUUUUGUACAAUUUGAACAUAAGUUGAUUUUUUUUCAGAACUGAACCUACAGAGUUGGUUUGUGUCCAGACUCAAGUACAAAGCUACCAGACAGGAUGAUGAGAGCAACUUUACUUACUAUUUUUAUUUGUUUAAAUAUAAAAUAAGCUUUUGCAGAUGGCCUAACUGUGGACACAAGACAGCCCAAUGAUAGGUAGAUACUGCAAACACUGCACUUGCAUGCGAAUGUCUGUUAUCUAAAUUUUACCCUCCUUUCUGUAUUUCUUUGGCUUUUCUUGAUUUCUUUAAGGAAAUCUAUUACAUUUCCCUUCCUCCCCUCAGCACUGCAUGGCCUGAUGUUCUUCCCAUUGUAUCAUCUUCUACGUCUGGUCCCCAGCGCACAUCAGUGCAGCUCACUGUGCCUUCAGUUCCCAAGGAGAAGAAUAACAUAUCACUCUUGCAAAAGGCUGGCGAUCAUCCAUUCCUCCCAGCUUUUCUCUGCCUCAGGAGAAAGAAGUAUUGCUAAAUCGCGUGCUCCCUGACAAUCAGUAUUCAAGUAUUGACGAAGUGGCAACAGGUCAUUACAAAAUACCUUUCCUUUCUUGUUUGAGAAAUCAACUGGGUAAGUAUACUCUAAUGAGGUGAUAAGGCUGGCUACUGUAGAUUGUAUUGAUGUGACCCUCAGGUGACCUCAUCCGUUUACAGCAAAAGCAAACAGCAACAUUAGAAAUACCAAAGUCCCAAAUUUAUCUCGUUUAAGAACCUUUUCAGCAUUUUAGAAACACUGUAUGGGCAUCUCUAAAGUGAGAAGAUCUCUGAAGCUAGAAGAGCAGAGUGAUUGUCUAAGUUAAGUCUAAGUGCAGUUGCUACUGUUAAUUAUUAUUUACUGCUCCUGGAGGGGAGCAAAGUGCUCUGGAGUCCUGUAAAUUAGCCAAGGUCCAUACCCAAAGCACACAUAUGGUUUGUCUUAGCCUGGUAAUAAUGGUUCCAGAGGAAAUUUUGGAAACACUACCCAUGGGAAAAAGCAACUCUCACAUAAAUGACAGUCUUAGAGCAAAUGUGUCAUAACACAUGCGAAGACACAUACUAAUUUAAGUCUAUCCCAUCAUGUGAAACAAGUUAACAAGAAGGAAAAUUGAACGUAGUUCAUUCCAUACUGAAAAUAUCUGGAAUAUGAGCAUUUUUGAGAGAGGGAUUAAAAAAAAAAUUAGCAUACUAGAUGGGAAGUUCAGGUUAAAGAAUUGAACUCUGAAGAUGGUAAUUAAGAUUUAUAGCUCAGCUUCUCAUUCUACAUUUGACAUUUACUAUACAUUUGAUCCUGCUUCAUAAAAUGAGGUUAAACCUUACUUAAUUGUUUUAAAGGCUUUGUUUAUUACAUGUUAAGGGCAACAAAGCUGGUGAGAGGUCUGGAGAGUAAGUCUUAUGAGGAGAGGCUGGGGGAGCUGGGGUUGUUCAGCUUGGAGAGAAAGGAGACUGAGGGGGGACCUUAUCGCUCUCUACAGUUAACUGCAAAGAGGGUGUAGAGAGGUGGGGGUCGGUCUC